UCUUAUUAACCCCGUAAAUUGGUGUAAUGUUAUUAUAGUGGAAAAUAUUGAGCUGAAUCAUCAUCAUUAGCACAAUCGGGCGUCGUGGUAAUGCAAGCGCGCGGGAAUUGCCGUUUCAGCCUGUUUCGCGGCAGCUCUUCACGAUCGAUUCAAACUGAAUCCAUCACCAACAAGCUUCGAGCUUCUUCAAAUUCCUCUCCGUCGAAGAAAACACUGACCCAGAAACGCGAAUCCAAAAACACCAACCCCACAAUUACCGAUUCCGAUAUAAUCAAAUGGAACAGGAAAAUCACCGCCUACAUGCGGAAUGGCCAAUGCGAGGCCGCUCUAAGAUUUUUCAACGGUAUGCCCCGUCGGAGUACUGUCACCUACAACGCCAUGAUAUCUGGAUAUUUGAGUAACAAUAAGUUUGAUCCUGCACGGAAGGUGUUCGAGAAAAUGCCCCAUAGAGAUUUGAUAUCUUGGAAUGUGAUGCUAAGUGGGUAUGUGAAGAAUGGGAACCUUAGUGCGGCGCGGGCUUUGUUUAAUCAGAUGCCCGAGAAGGAUACUGUUUCUUGGAAUGCUAUGUUGUCUGGGUAUGCUCAGAAUGGGUUUGUGGAGGAGGCUAGGAAAAUAUUUGAUAAAAUGUUGGAUAGGAAUGAAAUUUCGUGGAAUGGGUUGCUGGCGGCGUAUGUUCAGAAUGGGAGGAUCGAGGAUGCUAGAAGAUUGUUUGAUUCGAAAAUGGAUUGGGAGAUAGUUUCUUGGAAUUGUUUGAUGGGUGGGUAUGUGAAGAAAAAGAGGCUAGAUGAUGCCAGAAGUCUUUUUGACCGGAUGCCAGUUAGAGAUAAUAUCUCUUGGAAUACAAUGAUUACAGGUUAUGCUCAGAAUGGGCUGCUUUCAGAAGCUUGGAGAUUAUUUGAAGAGUCACCAAUUCGAGAUGUGUUUGCUUGGACUGCCAUGGUCUCUGGUUAUGUGCAGAAUGGGAUGUUGGAUGAAGCAAAGAGAAUUUUUGAAGAAAUGCCCGAGAAGAAUGAAGUUUCAUGGAAUGCAAUGAUUGCAGGGUAUGUGCAGAGCCAGCAGAUAGAAAAGGCAAGGGAAUUAUUUGAUCAAAUGCCUUCCCGGAAUGUUGGUUCUUGGAAUACAAUGGUUACUGGGUAUGCUCAGAGUGGUAAUAUUGAUCAAGCCAGGAUUUUGUUUGAUGAGAUGCCUCAACGUGAUUGUAUAUCAUGGGCAGCUAUGAUUGCCGGCUAUGCCCAAAGCGGCCAGAGUGAAGAGGCUCUGCAACUUUUUAUUAAGAUGAAAAGAGAUGGGGGAAUAUUGAAUAGGUCUGCAUUAACAUGUGCUUUGAGCUCAUGUGCAGACAUUGCUGCUUUUGAGUUAGGGAAGCAAAUACAUGGACGACUAGUUAAGGCAGGAUUCCAAACUGGGUAUUAUGUGGGGAAUGCACUUCUAGCCAUGUACUGCAAAUGUGGAAGUAUAGACGAAGCAUUUGAUGUAUUUGAAGAUAUAACAGAGAAGGAUAUUGUCUCCUGGAACACAAUGAUUGCAGGUUAUGCAAGGUAUGGAUUUGGUAAAGAGGCUUUAGCCGUAUUCGAGUCAAUGAAGAUGACAAUCAAACCUGAUGAUGUCACACUGGUCGGUGUUCUAUCUGCUUGCAGCCAUACUGGCUUAGUAGAUAAAGGCAUGGAAUAUUUUAACUCAAUGUAUCAGAACUACGGUAUAACAGCAAAUUCGAAACAUUACACUUGCAUGAUUGAUCUACUUGGUCGUGCGGGUCGGCUAGACGAGGCUCUGAAUUUAAUGAAGAACAUGCCAUUUUACCCAGACGCAGCAACUUGGGGUGCUUUACUUGGAGCAAGCCGAAUUCAUGGUGACACUAAAUUAGGUGAGAAGGCUGCUGAGAUGAUAUUUGAGAUGGAGCCAGAUAAUUCAGGGAUGUAUGUUCUUCUCUCAAAUUUAUAUGCAGCUUCAGGGAGAUGGAGUGAAGUUCGUGAGAUGAGAUUAAAAAUGAGAGACAACGGAGUGAAGAAAGUUCCUGGAUAUAGUUGGGUUGAAGUACAAAACAAGACUCACAUCUUCACUGUUGGAGAUUGUUCACACCCAGAAGCAGAGAGGAUAUAUGCUUAUUUAGAAGAGUUGGAUCUAGAAUUAAAGAAGGAUGGGUUUGUUUCUUCUACUAAAUUGGUGUUACAUGAUGUGGAAGAGGAGGAGAAGGAACACAUGCUCAAGUAUCAUAGUGAAAAAUUAGCAGUUGCAUUUGGGAUUCUGUCUGUACCACCUGGGAGACCAAUCCGAGUGAUUAAAAACUUGCGGGUGUGUGAAGACUGUCACAAUGCCAUCAAACGCAUAUCCAAGAUUGCGCAAAGACAGAUAAUCGUGAGGGAUUCUAAUCGCUUUCACCACUUCAGUGAAGGUUCAUGUUCUUGUGGAGAUUAUUGGUGACAUUUCUCAGCAUCAUCUUCUUUUUGCAGAUAUGGCAUUCAAUUAAGAUGAUUAGAAUAGACAGGGUUUCGCAAGCUCACUGAAGUCAAGAAGAUAAUUCUCAUACCAAUAAUCUCAGCAUCAUCUUCUUUUUGCAGAUAUGGCAUUCAAUUAAGAUGAUUAGAAUUUGAAGAAUUGACAAAUCAUUAAACCAUGAACGGCUAUACGAAAGGGGAUUCAAGGGUGAGAUGAACUGGGAUCAGAAUUUUCUGAACACACCUCAGGAUGAGACAUUCAAUCUCUUAAUGCUAGCGCCACAAAAGAUACUGAUCCUUGAUUACUAUUAGGACUAUGAGAAUUUCAAAGAACCACAUAUUUGGAGGUAAAAAAAACGAGAAGGUUAGUGAAUGUUACUGAGAAAAGGACAACCGCUGUAAUGGAGUCACAUCCUGAUGCUGCUGAUAUUGGAAGAUACCACUUCUACUAGAUUGUGCUACUGCUGUAUAGGUGAUUCGGAAGGCACAAGCAUAUUGCUAGGAAAUUGAAGUCUUCGGUUUAUGAUUUGCUUUCAGUUGACUCUACUAUGGUGUGUGGGUCCGUUGGCUAGGGAUAGUAAAAAGGAUAUUUGAGAUAUUUACGUACUCUACAACUUGGGUGCCUUACACCUAGGCUUACUGCAGCAGCACAACAACUUGACGAACCAACGUUUUAUUGGGAAGUUGACGAAAUUUUCAGCAAUUAAAUUGGAGAACUGCUCAAAACCUACGAGUUGUUAGGGAUGCUGAAACUUUUGUUUGUCGGCCUCAUCAGGUUAGCAAAACUCAGUAGAAAUUUUGACAAGGGGAUGCGGUUGAUCUCAUUUCCAUUUCCUACAAUUCUUUGGUUGAGUGGAAAAGCAAUUGAAAAUGAAUUGCCGCUUGAAGAAGUGCUUAUUACUUGGAAUUACCAAUGCUAAAUUUUGUAUUUUGGAAUAAUCUUUGGUGUGCCAAGUCUCCUAAACCAUGGGAGGUUGAGGCUAGCCCAAUAAUUUCAACGUGAACGAAUGACUGAUUAAAGCUGAAUAUUUUUGGUGGUGUCUCAAUAAUUGUUUGUUACUAGUCUUUCAUUCACUCGAUAGGAACUUGAGGUAAUGUUUCCCCAAGGAACUACCCCAGCACCACCCUCUUCUAUUAGUUUUCCCUUAAGUCCUCAAGAUUCUUCCUGUCUAGCUGGCUUAAAGGGAGAGGCCAUGAAAGCUUGGUGAGUGAACCCGAUAGAAAGAGGAGAGCAGAAGCUGUUGUUGAUGAACAGAACCUCUGUAUCCAUUAUAUAAAACGUUGCUUUGAUUGCUUUGAAUAGUGGAUGAACUUGUAGUUUUACGCCUGUUUGCAAACUAGUCUUUUCAAGAAAGGCUUCAUUAGAUUAACUUAUGCCAGGUGAGCUAUUCAUUUUGGCCGAGUUAUGAAUGUUGUUUCUCUCUAAACCUAGAAAGAGCAUAUUGUCAUAUGCUUUGUUGAGUUCAUUUAUAAUGAGAAGACUUCAAAUUACCUCUCUCUGCAUUUUGAAGAUGAAGAUAAAUGGAAAGAAAAUGGUUAAUUCCUGAUUUGGAUGACAUUUGAUGGUCUGCAGGGAUUAAAAUUUCACUUCAUGUUGAAGCUUGAAGCAAAUGGCAAGGUAUGACUUAGUAUAGUAAUUUUUCUUCUAUCGUAAACUAUUCACUCAUUGAGAAUAUUUUAAGGUAACCAGAAAAUUUAUCUCAAUCAAGGUACAACAUUCAUUUUCAUCAGAGUUACAAGCCUGUGAAAUAGAGGUAUAUAAGCCAAAACAAGGAUUUGUGAUGAAUAAAUCCAAUGCCUGUUUGUUGUUCUUCCGACGUGGUAGUCAUGCUACACGAGGCAACAACCUGAGAGGGCCCUUCAAAAUACAAAUAAAUCAAAAUUACAUGGAACCAUGUUUUUCUUUUCUCGACAGUAAUACAAAAAUUGUACAAUGAAAUAAUGGGAGGAAACCUACUGUUAGCAUCAUCUACCUGACUUUAGAAACUUCGCUACACUUUGCCUUGUAGCCAACAUGUCCUUUAGGAAAAAAUAUAUGCAAAACGAGCAGCCCCAUUGCUUUGUCUCACUCUUUCAAUGGAUCUUACAAAGUAGUAUGAAAUAUCAAGUAUGCAAGGCCGACACCUUAUGAGACAACCCGUCAAUUGCCUCGUCGUUUGUC